AGUGCUUCGCAGCUGUCUGGGCGAGAGGCACAGCGAUGGGCUCCGUGCUGAGCACCGACAGCGGCAAAUCGGCGCCCGCCUCUGCCACCGCGCGGGCCCUGGAGCGCAGGAGGGACCCGGAGUUGCCCGUCACGUCCUUCGACUGCGCCGUGUGCCUUGAGGUGUUACACCAGCCUGUCCGGACCCGCUGUGGCCACGUAUUCUGCCGUUCCUGUAUUGCUACCAGUCUAAAGAACAACAAGUGGACCUGUCCUUAUUGCCGGGCAUAUCUUCCUUCAGAAGGAGUUCCAGCAACUGAUGUAGCCAAAAGAAUGAAAUCAGAGUAUAAGAACUGCGCUGAGUGUGACACCCUGGUUUGCCUCAGUGAAAUGAGGGCACAUAUUCGGACUUGUCAGAAGUACAUAGAUAAGUAUGGACCACUACAAGAACUUGAGGAGACAGCAGCAAGGUGUGUAUGUCCCUUUUGUCAGAGGGAACUGUAUGAAGACAGCUUGCUGGAUCAUUGUAUUACUCAUCACAGAUCGGAACGGAGGCCUGUGUUUCUGUAGAAAAUGUUUCCUGACUG
ensembl:lncRNA novel transcript